UUAAACUUAAUUUUAAUUUUAAUAUUAAUUAUUAAUUUUUUAUAUAUAUAAAAUUUUAUUAAAUUAUUUAAAUAAAUAAAUUAAUUUAAUAUAUAAAAUUAAUUUAUUUAAGAAAUUAUGAGUUAAAAAAAUUAUUUAUUAUAAAUAAAAAAUUGUGCCAGCAAUUGCGGUUAAACGUUUUAUAAGAAUUAAUAUUAUCAAUUUUUAAUAAAAUAAUUUUUUUAAAUUAAUAUAAUAUUUAUUUUUAGGUAAAAUUUUAAUAAAUUAAAUAUUUAUUUAAAUUAAUUAAUUUAUUUAAAUAAUUUUAUAAAAAACUAGGAUUAGAUACCCUAUUAUUUAAUUAAAUUAAAAAAAAAUUAGUUAUUAAAUGUAAAAAACAUUAAAUUUAAAAAAUUUGGCGGUAUUUUAUUUUUUAAAGAAAUUUAUUUCCUAAUAGAUAAUCAACUAAAAUAAUUAUUUUAUUUGUAUAUAUAUAUAUAUAUAUAUAUAUAUAUAUAUAUUAUUUAUUUAUUGUUGUUUAAAAAUUAAAUUUUAAAAUUUUAAUUAAAUAUUUUUUUAAAAAUUUAAUUCAAAUCAAAAUAUAAUUUAUAAUAAAAAAGAAAAGAAUUUCAUUAGUUAAAAAUAUAAUUUAUAUUAAUUAAUUUAAUAUAGAAAAUAGAAUUUAAUAGUAAAUUAGUUUAAAUUAAAUUAAUUGAAUUUAAAUUUAAAAUAUGUACAUAUUGCCCGUCAUUUCUAAUUUUAUUUAGAACAAGUCGUAACAAAGUAAAAUUACUGGAAAGUGAUUUUAGAAU
rnacentral:rRNA from 1 species